rnacentral:rRNA from 1 species
GACGAACGCUGGCGGCGUGCUUAACACAUGCAAGUCGAACGGAAAGGCCCCCUUGUGGGGUACUCGAGUGGCGAACGGGUGAGUAACACGUGAGUAACCUACCCUUGACUUUGGGAUAACUUCAGGAAACUGGGGCUAAUACCGGAUAGGAGCUCCUGCUGCAUGGUGGGGGUUGGAAAGUUUCGGCGGUUGGGGAUGGACUCGCGGCUUAUCCGCUUGUUGGUGGGGUAGUGGCUCACCAAGGCUUUGACGGGUAGCCGGCCUGAGAGGGUGACCGGCCACAUUGGGACUGAGAUACGGCCCAGACUCCUACGGGAGGCAGCAGUGGGGAAUAUUGCACAAUGGGCGGAAGCCUGAUGCAGCAACGCCGCGUGCGGGAUGACGGCCUUCGGGUUGUAAACCGCUUUCGCCUGUGACGAAGCGUGAGUGACGGUAAUGGGUAAAGAAGCACCGGCUAACUACGUG